GGCACAUAGCUCAACGGUUAGAGCGACGGCAUCAAAGCGAUAGAGGCGGGGACCCUGGGUUCAAUCCCGGGUAGUGGCA